rnacentral:rRNA from 1 species
CAGCAGCCGCGGUAAAACCAGCACCUCGAGUGGUCAGGAGGUUUAUUGGGCCUAAAGCAUCCGUAGCCGGUUGCAUAAGUUUUCGGUUAAAUCUAUGCGCUUAACGUAUAGGCCGCCGAAAAUACUGUGCAGCUAGGGAGUGGGAGAGGUACACGGUACUCGAUAGGAAGGGGUAAAAUCCUUUGAUCUAUUGAUGACCACCUGUGGCGAAGGCGGUGUACCAGAACACGUUCGACGGUGAGGGAUGAAAGCUGGGGGAGCAAACAGGAUUAGAUACCCCUGUAGUCCCUGUCUCUUAUAC